GUUUUAGGAGAGAAGAAUCACAUGCCCACGCCGAUAGUUUUCCACUGAUUUUAUAAAACUCUGGAGCCUUUUAGCAAAAAUACAGAUUUAUUAAAAUGUACGCACAAACUGCUGAUGCUGUUUUAAACUGCUCGCUUUGUGAUGACGCGCUCUGAGCGCACAUCUAACUCCAGGCGAGAGAGGGAGAGCGAGAGAGAGAGAGAGCAUGCUGCAACGACUCAACUUACAUCUGAGGGAGCAGAGAGGACGCAUGUGGCAAGUCGCAGCUGGUCAGGCUGUGUAUGGAUGCUGCUUCCCUCCUCCUCUUUUCUCUCGCUCCUGAAUGCAUAGGAUAAUUGAUGAGAGGACGUUCCGCUUUUUCAGCAGGGAGGUUACAGCUCUUGACAUCGCUUGUACUAAAUUCCCUCCGCGGUAUGGACGGGCUGCAGGCAGGGAAUGCUGCAGCUGGUGGCAUCGGAGAAAACGCGGAGGAAAAGUACCGCGCUCUCGCCUAUGACACCGCUCUGAGCACUUUGGUGGCAGUGGCUCUCUAUGUGGUGGUGAAAGUGAGUCUGGACGGCUUCAGGCAGUGGCGGGCCAGGAUCUCGGUGCUCAUCGUGGGUUCUGGACCCGUUGGGCUUACGGCCGCGCUGGUCGCUGUCCGCUCCGGAAAGGUGCUGAAACUGACCGUGCUGGACGAGCGGUACCGGACCGCCCUGCUCUGCCGGCCCCAGCAGAUUGCCCUGGAUCCCCGGAGUGUGAAGUUUCUGCUGGGACUCGGGGUGGACUUUGAUAACAUGGAGGGCUGCUGGCACAACGAACAUUUUUUCACCAGAAUUGGCGUGUUUCAGGAGUAUCUGCUGAGCAUCCUGGAGCAGAAGAAACAGAAGGUGGACGUCAAAGUGCAGCUGGGAACUAAGUUCACAGAGGAUUACCUGCGGCGGAUCCCUCACAAUGACUGGCCACGUGUGAUUGUUGUGGCUGAUGGCUCUUGUGGCGACUCCUGCUCUGUGCUUGGAAUCAGCUCUGACUACACAGUGGAGUCCUGUCAUGCCUAUGGAGCUAACGCAACUAUAGAGAGAUUAGACCAGAGACAGGUGCCUACUCCUGAGAUCAGGGCUCACAGCCUGUACUUUGACCUGUCUGCUUACGGAGUGGAGGCCCUCCGAGAACACAGAACUCCAGCAGCUAAGCCCGGCUUCCAUCUGAAAAUCUACGGCACCUUCAGAAACCGCUACAUGGCUCUUGUCUGUCCUGCCUCAGACACAAAGAUGGUUCGCUUCCUCAGGCAGACCGCAAACUCUUCUAUCAUGAAGAACAUUUUCCACCAAUCCUUCAAUGCCUAUAAGACAGACAUAGAACCUCGUCUCAACGAUGUGACGCUCCACCACAUGCAGUGCAGCAGACGCCUCUUUGAGAUUCAGCUGUCGCACAGACGCAUCAGUGCUGCCUACAUAGAGGGGGACAAUGUGGCGGUCACUGUGGAGGGCGAGGCGGCACGUGUCCUCAAUUUUGACACAGGUUGUGGGGUAAAUCUUGGCAUGCGAGGCCUCGAGUCAAUGGGGACAUUCAUUUACCGGACUGCUACAGCUGUGGACCAGAAUGACAUUCUAGAGGCGCUCUCGGCUAAGAUGCAGCACUCCAGACAGGUUGCUGAGACCUUCAAGCAGACAGGUCUUGCUGAGUCAAUGUAUGAAUGAAACAGGGGGGUGACAUGGUGAAUGCAUAAUGCCACCUAGUGGAAAGUGGUGAUGGAUUAUUCAGGUGAAACAUAAUAUGGACCACUGAAAUGCAAACCACAAGGAUCAACAGGCUCUGAGCAGUGAAUCCUGGUUUGAUUUCUGACGUCUGGACCUUUCCUGCAAGUCAUUCCUCUUUUCUCAUUCUGCACCUGUUUCCUGAAAAAAAGCCCCAUGCUUAAUGAGCCCCAGAUGGAUAAUGGAUGUAAACAUUUAGGUCUUACACUAAGCAAUGAUCAGAUCAACACAUAAUGGGUGUGGAGAGAAUAAUUAAGAGCACAGUCAGCCUGCUGUAUGUGUAAUAGUUCUGGUUUUUAGAAUAAAAAUGAUAUAUGAAACUGAAUAUGCA
rnacentral:lncRNA from 1 species